AGAAUAACGCAUCUCCUUGGUGCCCCAAAAGGAGAACUUGAUGGUGACAGCCUCACAGUGAGUGCUUAUUUCAUGUUUACCUAUAGUUUUUUCCUUCCUUUAUCUUUUGAUUUUUCAUUUUUCCUCCCAGAAAGCAAGACACUUUUAAAGGCACUGUGCCCUGUCCUGGGACUUGUUACCCAGACAGGGAAUUACUAUCACAGAUUUUCUUUUGUCAAAAUGAGUUUGUAGGUUUCUACAGUAUCAAAUUAGGAAGGGUUGCUUGUUCCUGGAUUUGGGGAAGUUUGGCUUUUUUUAUGCUCUUCUUCUUUCUCCUUCCUGAAAAUCAGGAUUCUCAGAUUUCAUCAGGUUUAGAGGUACUGAACUUAACAGCUCAAAAACAGGGUAGAUCCCUUGAUAAAUAUCAUGCUCUUGAAAGCCUCUUUUUAGGCAUCAGAACAGAUGGACAGUUUGAAAAUGUUUGGUUCACUGGUCUCUAGGCUAAGAUGGACAUUAUUUAAACCUGCAACUUUAAGCCAAAGUUAGUUUGGUGGUCUCUAAACCAGAGACAAAUUGUUGGCUUUCCAAAACAAACCAUAAAGAGAGAAAUAAAGGUUUUAUUUUGUUCGUGUGUUUGUAAAACGAUUUCUUGGAGACCAAGAAAUAAUAAAGUUCUUUCUUCCUUCUCCUCAGGUGUACGUGGCAGCCUUUGCUGUAUCAGCAUAUGCAUCUAGCUAUUUCCGAGCUGGGAGCAAGCCCUUCAAUCCUGUUCUUGGAGAAACCUAUGAGUGUAUCCGUGAGGACAAAGGCUUCCGGUUUUUCUCAGAGCAGGUCAGCCACCAUCCACCUAUCUCUGCAUGUCACGCUGAGUCUGGAAAUUUUGUUUUCUGGCAAGAUGUGAGAUGGAAAAACAAAUUCUGGGGCAAAUCCAUGGAAAUUGUCCCCAUUGGCACCACCCACGUGACUCUGCCAGCGUAAGUUCUUCUGUGCUUAGGAACUUUAUAGAAUUUAGGGCCAAGAUACAGCUUUAGGAAUGGGACUCCCAUUGUCCCCCAUGGUGUUGAGUAUAUGUUUUUUCCCUUUUCAUUGGUUUGACAGUAAGUUCAAAUGUACCUCAUUUUGACAAGCUCACAUUUUCUUCAAACAGAAAUGCCACCUGGAAACCAAAGUUCAUUGAACAAAAGCUCUUUUAAAACUCGUUUCCACUUUCUAACAAAAUUAAGAAUGGUGGUUUGCCUUAACAUUGUUGUCCUACCUAACUGUCAGAAUUCCUUUAAAGAAAGAUAUGGACUUGAUCCUACAGAGAUUAUUGGUACUCAUUUAUAAAGCCAAAUGGCUGUGAGUGUGGCCUCUGGGACUGGGCUAAUAGGACUCAUGUACUCACCCUGCCACUUACUAAUUGCAAAGCCUUGGGCAGGUUACUUAAUCAUUCUGAUCACUAGUUCCCUCAUCUAUAAAACACGAGAAAUAAACCACCUACUUUGCAGGGUUUAUGAAGAUUAAAGGAAUAAUGUACAUAAAGCACUUUAAAGAGUACUUGGCAAAUAGUAUAUGCCAUGUAAGUGUUUGGUCUUAUUAUCAUUAUCCUCGUAAUUAUUAUAUGACUCUGUAAGUCUGAAUACUUUCUCAUUGUAAAAAGAUUUAAGAUACGUGUAAGAUGUAUAUAUAAAAUAGGGGCGCCUGGGUGGCUUAGUUGGUUAAGCAUCUGACUUUCGCUCAUGUCAUGGUCUUGUGGUUUGUGAGUUCAAACCCUGCAACCAGGCUCUGGGCUGACAGCUCAGAGCCUGGAGCCUGCUUUAGAUUCUGUCUCCCUCUCUCUCUGCCCCUCCCCUGCUUGCGCUCUGUCUCUCUCUCAAAAAUAAAUAAACAUUAAAAAUUUUUAAAGAAAGAUUUAUCUAUAACAUAGAUAUGUGUCUUUGCAUAUACAUAUAUACAUAUGUAUGCGUGUGCACAUAUAUACACAUAUGUGUGUAUGCAUGUGCGUAUGUGUGUAGAGAGCAGAUUGUAGAAGAUGCCCCCACCUUCCCCAUUGCCUCUUCCGUUUUCUAGUUUGGUGACUUUCGGCAAGUCACCUCUGGCUCUCAGUUUUCUCCUCUGUCAAAGGAGAGAGUGGGUUGUUCGAGGACAUCACCAGCUUCCAGUGAAGGCCCUGUCAGCUUCCAGAGUGGCCGUCUCUGACUGCUGCUCCCCUCUGUGACACGGAUGACUCCUGGGGGAAUGGAAG